rnacentral:rRNA from 1 species
AGAGUUUUAUCUGGCUCAGGAUGAACGCUAGCUACAGGCUUAACACAUGCAAGUCGAGGGGCAGCGGGGGCAGAGCUUGCUUUGCCUGCCGGCGACCGGCGCACGGGUGCGUAACGCGUAUCGAACCUCCCCCAUACUCGGGAAUAGCCUUGCGAAAGUAAGAUUAAUGCCCGAUGGUCUCAGAAUAUGACAUCAUGCUUUGAGUAAAGAUUCAUCGGUAUGGGAUGGCGAUGCGUCUGAUUAGAUAGUUGGCGGGGUAACGGCCCACCAAGUCGUCGAUCAGUAGGGGUUCUGAGAGGAAGGUCCCCCACAUUGGAACUGAGACACGGUCCAAACUCCUACGGGAGGCAGCAGUGAGGAAUAUUGGUCAAUGGUCGGAAGACUGAACCAGCCAAGUAGCGUGAAGGAUGACUGCCCUACGGGUUGUAAACUUCUUUUAUGCGGGAAUAAAGUGCCCCACGCGUGGGGUAUUGCAUGUACCGCGUGAAUAAGCAUCGGCUAAUUCCGUGCCAGCAGCCGCGGUAAUACGGAAGAUGCGAGCGUUAUCCGGAUUUAUUGGGUUUAAAGGGAGCGUAGGCGGAGGCUUAAGUCAGUGGUCAAAUCGUGUGGCUCAACCAUGCGUCGCCGUUGAUACUGGGUCUCUUGAGUGCACAUAAGGAUGGUGGAAUUCGUCGUGUAGCGGUGAAAUGCUUAGAUAUGACGAAGAACUCCGAUUGCGAAGGCAGCUGUCCGGGGUGUAACUGACGCUAAUGCUCGAAAGUGCGGGUAUCAAACGGGAUUAGAUACCCUGGUAGUCCGCACAGUA